rnacentral:misc_RNA from 1 species
GUAGGUGAACCUGCGGAAGGAUCAUUAUUGAAGUUGAUUCGGGUUGUCGCUGGCUCUCAGGAGCAUGUGCACGCUCGUUCAUAUUCAUUCUCUCUUGUGCACCUUUAGCUAGACUAUGAAUACCUCUCGAGUGAAAAUCUCGGAUUGAGGGCUGCACCUAACCGUGCUUUCCUUGCAUUUUCAUAGUCUAUGUCUUCAUAUACCCUUUGUAUGUCUUUGAAUGUCUUUUUGUGGGUCUUUGACCUAUAAAAUCUAGUACAACUUUCAACAACGGAUCUCUUGGCUCUC